rnacentral:lncRNA from 1 species
AUAAUUUACAGAGAUUCUACUAAAUAAAAAUAGGGAAUUUGCAUAUUUUGUCCCACUUAAAAUGCACUAACAUGGCGAGGUCAACAAUCUUGAUUUUUGCCAUAAUUAGUCUGUGGGGGAGUUAAAUUUCAAUCAUCUUGUAACAUGUUAGCGACAUUUUAAAUGAGAGUAACUCGUUAAAGAUUUUUCCAUUUAAGCCUAAUUUUUACUAUUUUGGUUAAUGUGCAACUUUAUGUAAUUAUACUCUUCCAGGAUGUGACUCAAUGAGAAGGGAACAUCUGCUGGAUAACUUUGCUUUAUGUCGCUUUACAAGGAGAAGAUGAACUGCAGAAAGACUGAUUGGAUCGGGAUUUUAGAGAAAAUAUCAGGAAGAAAAAAGAGUAGGAGAAGGCCAUGAAGAUACAGAGAGGUGCUGAGAGGUGAUAAAAAGGUAAAUGAAAGAACUAGGAUUUCUGAAUUCUUCUUACUGACAUAGAUGGUCUGUAAUCAAUACAGAUUGUCUACUAACAACUAAAAGUUCUGGUAGCACUAUUGGUUUGAAUUUGAUUGCCUAGGUUAUCUUAUUUUCAAUAUUUUUAAUCUGUUUAGUUAAUAAGGAGUAUUAUAUUAAGAAUCUAUUAUCUUUACACCAGAAUUCCAGAAAUGUGCUAUGUAUCCAAUGCUAUCCAGGCGAUUGUGA